rnacentral:rRNA from 1 species
GGAUCCAGACUUUGAUUCUGGCUCAGGACGAACGCUGGCGGCGCGCCUAACACAUGCAAGUCGAGCGGGAAGCUUUUUAAGGAUUCUUCGGAUGAAUUAAAAAGUGGAGAGCGGCGGACGGGUGAGUAACGCGUGAGAAACCUGCCCUAUACAGGGGGAUAGCCAUUGGAAACGAUGAUUAAUACCCCAUAUGACCACAGUAUCGCAUGAUACAGCGGUGAAAACUCCGGUGGUAUAGGAUGGUCUCGCGUCUGAUUAGCUAGUUGGUGGGGUAACGGCCUACCAAGGCGACGAUCAGUAGCCGGCCUGAGAGGGUGACCGGCCACACUGGAACUGAGACACGGUCCAGACUCCUACGGGAGGCAGCAGUGGGGAAUAUUGCACAAUGGGCGAAAGCCUGAUGCAGCGACGCCGCGUGAACGAUGGAGGCUUUCGAGUCGUAAAGUUCUGUUCUUGGGGAAGAUAACGACGGUACCCAAGGAGAAAGCACCGGCUAAAUACGUGCCAGC